rnacentral:lncRNA from 1 species
UGAUUGCAACUUUAAGGUAGCUUGAAAGAUAUUAUAACCACCCAACGUGGUAAGUUUUCUAUGUCUUGCCGUGAUCAAAUUCAUGUAUGAUUGUGCGCAAAGAAUUGAAAACCCGUCCCACUGAAUUUGCUCCAUUCUCGUUCCCUGUAGAGAAUGUGAUAGCAGUAUGUGAUAAGCCUGAAAGAAGACAAAAUUAUCACCGUGAAGGUAUCAAUGGAUGUGGACAUGGCAAUAGACGAAAUUAUAAUCGUCAUCAUUGUG